UCUUCUGGCACUGAAUAAUUGUAGCGCACGUUCUUCUUUAUGUGGAUUCAUCUAGUGAUUAUUCUCUAACUGCUUGUGCCUUUAUCCUUUUCCUUGACUUUCAUCUCAUGAAUACCUUGAUUGACUUUGACUUUCAUUGACUUUCUUUCGUAGGCUAGAAAAAGGACGAUUUGCGUCCCACCAAGUGCGUCGCACUAAAACGAAAACGACGCAAAAACCUAAUUUGCGUCGCACGGGAGCCAGACUGCGACGCAAAAUAGAGCCAUAUGCGUCGGAUCAUCAUGAAGUGCGACGCAUAUCAAGGAUGUGCGUCGGACCCCCUGGCCCAUCCGAUGCAAAUCACUUGACUCAUGAAUGUGCUGUACAUGGGCUAAGCGCGUCGAGUCGUCUUCACGUGCGACGCAGAUGGGCUUCCCAUAAAGCCCAUAUUAAAUCCCUUUACCCUACCUACCCUCUCAGUCUCUCAGCCGUUCCUUUCAUUUAUCCUUCAAACCCCACCCCACUAAUCUCUCUCCCAGUUUUGAACGCUUCUUCCUUUCAUUUAUCCUUCAAAUCCCCCCAAAACACCAACUACAUCAAAAUUCGAACGAAUCGUUUUCUCAAGUUCACAAGUUCGCAUCAACAAAUCGUAUUUCAUUCACAGUCGAGCGCCUUUUCCGUUUUCCGGCGAGCGACCGAACGUAAAGCUUCCAGGGAAAGAACGAACUCAUGAGUAAGACCUUCACGUUUUCCGGCGAGCGUCUUCAUGAGUAAGACUUUGACAGAUCUGAAAAUUUGCUCUUCUCGAAGUCGUCUCCCUCGAGCACAUUGGAAAACGUCGGCCUUAAUCUUUUUAGAUGGAACAGGAAUUGUACUCAGAUACAUAGUUACUUAUAAUGAACGAUAUUAUUUUCAGAUGAAAUUGUUCUAGAUUUAAUUUUAAUUUUACAUUUUUUUAUCUAUAUUAUUAUAGUGGUUUGUAAUAUUAUACUUGUAAUACAUAUUUGUAAUACGACAUUGUUAAUGUAGAAAUACAUUUUUUUAUAUCUAUAUUAUUACACAAUUCGAUUGUGAUCUUUAA